CAAAACGUAGUUUAUAAAAACACUUCGUUUACACCGGAAAAAUAUUUAUUAUUAAAUCGUUUUGA
rnacentral:tRNA from 1 species